UACAGAGGUCCCAAGCGUUGUUCGGAUUCACUGGGCGUAAAGGGUGCGUAGGCGGUCGGGUAAGUCUGAUGUGAAAUCUCACAGCUUAACUGUGAAACUGCAUUGGAUACUAUCCGGCUUGAGGAAUGGAGGGGAGACUGGAAUACUUGGUGUAGCAGUGAAAUGCGUAGAUAUCAAGUGGAACACCAGUGGCGAAGGCGAGUCUCUGGACAUUUCCUGACGCUGAGGCACGAAAGCCAGGGGAGCGAACGGG
rnacentral:rRNA from 1 species